UACGGAGGGUGCAAGCGUUAAUCGGAAUUACUGGGCGUAAAGCGCACGUAGGCGGCUUUGCAAGUUAGAGGUGAAAGCCCGGGGCUCAACUCCGGAAUUGCCUUUAAAACUGCAUCGCUAGAAUUGUGGAGAGGUAAGUGGAAUUCCGAGUGUAGAGGUGAAAUUCGUAGAUAUUCGGAAGAACACCAGUGGCGAAGGCGACUUACUGGACACAUAUUGACGCUGAGGUGCGAAAGCGUGGGGAGCAAACAGG
rnacentral:rRNA from 1 species